rfam:Nematostella vectensis strain CH2 x CH6 NEMVEscaffold_17_Cont3320, whole genome shotgun sequence.
UAAAAGGGUCUUUGCAGUCAUUUGCACGUGGGUCUUUGACGGACCUGCGCGGAAUCGCUAUCAAGAGAUUUCGGAGGCAUAAUCUUUGGACUUUACAGGCAGUUGGCGUCAUUGUUCGCCGACGCCCCC